GGAAAGGUGGAUUGUGUGAGGCCUGUUGGACUUGAACGUGUAUCUCCUUUUAAAUAACUGGGGUUUUCUAUUGUUCUCUAGAUGUAGUUUGACUUUGCCUCCAAGAAGUUACUGAUUUUGUUUUUUAUAAAAAAUAAUUUUGGACAUGUGUACUAGAGAAAUCUCAGUUCUGUGCCCAGUGGUGGAAUAUUUGUAGGUACAAAUAACAAAUGGACUUCCGGUUUAGAAAAACCACCACCACCACCAAACAACAGCAAAACCCACACAUACAAAAGUAACAACAACAAAACUUCUGACUGCCAGAUUGAAUACAGGGUGUAUUCCCAGCUGGGUUUUUUGAUGUGUGGCAGGGAGGGGGGGGUUACAAUUAGAAUAGUAAUGCACUGUGGAUCGGUGCUUAAUUUGUACAUAAAAAGGAAAACUUUUUGUUUUGGGUAGUUUGUAUUGUAAGAACAGCAUCUAAAGGCACUGUGUAUCAGUCAUCUAUUUCCAUUUAAAAGAUUAUAUUUUUGAGCAAUGGAAACUGUACAUGUUAUCAUUUAUACAUUACUGAUAGGUAGGAAUAGAGAAAACCUGUUGCUAUGACUCUGAAGAUGUAUCUGACUUGUCAUUGAUCUGUACAUCGCUGCAUCACUACCUUAUACAAAUUCUCAUGCUCAUUUAGUUAAGGAGAUUGUAGUAACUGGUACAGUUACAACAGGAAUUGUAACGUCAAAACUUUCAGUAUAUCUCAAAUGUGUAUCCUUGUAGUUAAGUUUAAUCCUUUACCAAAUGUUUGGCUGGAAUUUCAUCUUGGAGCAAUGACACAAUCGGUGCUGGAACAGAUUUCCCUCACCCCAACCCACACUUUAUUUAUUUGAUAGGUCUUGUUUUGUAUGUUAUAUUUUCCCCCAUGACAGGUUUGUGCCUUUUAUUGGAUAUUUAUUUAAAAGGAGCGAUAAUUUAGGUUGCUUUUUUUCAGAUGUAUUCUUGUACAGCUGUUCCUUUAUGUGAGUUCCUUCGUUUUAUAAGAAUACAGAAUGUGUGGAAUAUACUAGCCACAAACUGGAAAAAAAUUUUGAGGGUUUAUGUUCUAUGAAUAAUUUUUUUAAAACGAAGCCUAAGCACAAGACUGGCUGUGUUGAUAUUUUAAUUGUGGAACUUCACAAUUUGUUAAUACGCAAAUUGUUUGUUUUUUAAAAACUGCUCAUAUCCAAUUAUUUGAUGAAACAAGUUUUGGAAAAAAAUAAACUUUGGCACAUGCAAGAUGUGUG
rnacentral:lncRNA from 1 species